rnacentral:lncRNA from 1 species
AGGGUCGUUGAACAGCUGCUCUGCAAGCUCCCACCCUGUGGAGUGUACUUUGAUCUUCAAUAAAUCUUUGCUUUCAUUGCUUCAUUCUUUCAUUGCUUUGCUGUGCAUUCUGUCCAAUUCUUUGUUCAAAAUGCCAAGAACCUGGACAAUUUGCAGUCAAGACCCUCCACCGGGAUAUGAACUUCCAAUUAUAUCAUUGGACUUGACUACUCCAUUUCUUUCCACAUUUAAAAAUCAAUCAGGGAGAAGCUAUUUUGAGAACUUAACACAGUAUUUAACAUGGGAUUUCUGAAUGAAGACAGUUUAUGGAUGAAUAAGGCAAAGGAGUUACUGAAUGUCUGGACUUCAGCGAAUUAAGACACUGAGACUUUCUCGCUAUUGAAGCUACCUUGAAACAAUAAACACUAAAUACCUAGUUGGUUUGCCAAAAGCAUAAAAUGUUACUUUUCGUAUUUGAUUUUCUUUCCCAAAUCUAUAAUAUAAUCCAGAAUUUGUACACAUAUUUUUUUCCUGAUAAUUAAACGUGUAGACAAUGGGAAUAUAA